UACAGGGGGUGCAAACGUUGCUCGGAAUUAUUUGGCGUAAAGCGCGCGUAGGCGGCCACUUAAGUCGGAUGUGAAAGCCCUUGGCUCAACUGAGGAAGUGCACCCGAAACUGAAUGGCUUGAGUACUAAAGAGGGUCGCGGAAUUCCCGGUGUAGAGGUGAAAUUCGUAGAUAUCGGGAGGAACACCGGUGGCGAAGGCGGCGACCUGGGUAGAUACUGACGCUGAGGCGCGAAAGCGUGGGGAGCAAACAGG
rnacentral:rRNA from 1 species